UACGUAGGGGGCAAGCGUUGUCCGGAAUUAUUGGGCGUAAAGAGCUCGUAGGCGGUCUGUUACGUCCGCUGUGAAAACCCAGGGCUUAACCCUGGGCUUGCAGUGGAUACGGGUAGACUAGAGGCAGGUAGGGGAGAAUGGAAUUCCCGGUGUAGCGGUGAAAUGCGCAGAUAUCGGGAGGAACACCGGUGGCGAAGGCGGUUCUCUGGGCCUGACCUGACGCUGAGGAGCGAAAGCGUGGGGAGCGAACAGG
rnacentral:rRNA from 1 species